rnacentral:lncRNA from 1 species
AUCAUAGAUAAAAAUCAAAGAGCUGAAAGCUCUGAAGAAAAAUGACGCCACUGUCUCUAAUAUUGGGAUAGUUUUUAUGCAAGUCUUGAUUUUCACAUACCGUAAUUAGUUUAACAAUGCAACAUGUCUCGUAAGCAUAUAAUUGAUAUUCGUAUAUGUGUGUGUGUGAAGUGAAGGUGCCAACUGGCUGGGUUUUUUUUUAAGACAAAUGAAUAGGUCAAGACUACCUGAAUUGUACAAAUAAAUACCGUAGAAAGGCUUCUAUAUUUCUCACUGGUACAUAGGCUGAAUCCGGGUCCGUUCGCGCCCAUUCACGUUUGCGCCAACUCAUGUUCGCCCCCUUUCACUUUCACACCCUACAUGUUCGUAACUAAUCUUAAUUGGUUUUGUGUUUAAUAACUCUGUAAGCAAGUGUUUUCUUAUAAGUAUAAUUGUUGUCAUUGUCUCAAAAUAAAGUGAGACAGCAUUUUUUUUUUUGUGUUGAAUAAAUCUUAAUCAUGUUUUGGAUAGCGUAUUGUUAAAGAUAAUAAUAAUCCUUUCUAAAUAAAGUGGUAUUUUGUCAACGUUUUAUUUAGCGUUGAAUAACUCUUAAUCAUGUUUUGGUCAGUGUAUUGCUAUACUUUGUUUCAUUGACCUCUUUCAUAAUGAAGUGAGAUUCUGACUAAUUUUUUUUCUGUGUGUUUAAUUUUAUCAUGUUUUGGUUAUAAUAGUGGAUUGCUAUAUUUUGGUUCCUAUAUUUUAUUGUUUCAGAUCAAAGGGCUUUAAAACAAUUAUCUUUUGUGUUUUCCUUUAAAAUCUUCAAUGUUUUACUCAUACCAAGCUAUAAAUACAUUCAGUAUCUACACCAAAGCAAUUUAAAACA